UCAAAAGGAACUGAUAGAAAGUAUUAUAAAAUCAAACAGUUAAUGUAUUUUAAAGUCAACGGCGAUGAAGUAGUUCAGAUUUAUGUUCGAUUUAACAGAUUAUACUUUCAAACCCCAAAUUUUUACUUCAUAUGACUGCAUUAAAAUUCCCACAAUUGAAUUACAUUCUCUCAAAAUUUGAACAUAUCUUUUGUUAGUGCUACAAUA
rnacentral:lncRNA from 1 species